UUCCUUUUGAGGCUUACAUGCAAGUCCUGAGGGCAAUUUCAAAAGAGGAUGCAUGGCCAACACGUUUUGAAUGAUAGUUACAUGGUUGGAAGUAAUGGAGCCUCCUGGGAUGCCGUUGAAAGAAGCUGUCCUCCCUGGCAUGUGAACAGUGCUUGACUGGCUAUGAAUAAAAGUCAAUUAUGCCAGUAUCUCCCUCAAAGAUGGUGAGAAUUAGGAGUGCUGAAAUCAUGCAUGCAUGUAUGACUUACUUCUGGUGGACCCACCGCAGGAUCAGAAAUGUCUACACUGUUGCUGCUUUUCUAAUUUUAGCCACCUUGAAGAGUGACACAAGUCAUCACACAGUUG
rnacentral:lncRNA from 1 species